CAGUCGCCGCGGUAAUCCGGAGGGGGCUAGCGUUGUUCGGAAUUACUGGGCGUAAAGCGCACGUAGGCGGCUUGGUAAGUUAGAGGUGAAAGCCCGGAGCUCAACUCCGGAAUUGCCUUUAAGACUGCCGAGCUAGUAGGUGAGAGAGGUAAGUGGAAUUCCGAGUGUAGAGGUGAAAUUCGUAGAUAUUCGGAAGAACACCAGUGGCGAAGGCGGCUUACUGGCUCAUUCUAGACGCUGAGGUGCGAAAGCGUGGGGAGCAAACAGGAUUAGAGACCCGUGUAGUCCCUGUCUCUUAUAC
rnacentral:rRNA from 1 species